GCUAAUGGCCGCUCCAGCGGGAAAGUUCCCUACGAUCCUCUUUUGUUGCCAGUUCAGCGAGUCCAGGUGGUUGAGUAUCAGAGUGUUCCAUCUCGUUUCCCUUUGGGGGUCUCGCUGUAUAGCUCAGGCUGUCCUCGACCUCACUGUGCAGGCCAGGCUUGUAUGGAAUUCAGGGCGAUCUUCCUGCCUCAGUCUCCCUAGUGCUGGAAUUAUAGUGUGCCCAAGUUGAGACACGGUGUCACAGCCGAGGGGCCUGUUGAAGAAUGCUGCUGACUUCAUGGUAGCCAGGAAACAGAGAGGGAAAGUACCAGAGAAGUAGUGGCUGUGCACCAAUUGUAGUUCCCAAGGUUAAGCCCUCAUCACUCACUUCCUUCAGGCCUUCAUUUCCAUAAGCUACUCAUUUACAAGAACUGUACUUCUAACUUCACAUUCGUGCUUGAAUCUGAACAGCCUUUGGAAAGUGCAAGACUUGAACUACCCUUGAAGUCUACAGGUUUCUAUUUCACUCAUUGCUAUAAUUGCGAGUAUUGCAAUGACGGAGGACUUGACGAUGUAGAAAUAGACUUGAGACAUCCUGUAAUUGAAGAGAAGCUACAAGAUGGGACUGUAUGUUUUAUGGUGCCAGAGCUUUGCCUCUGUAAUAGCCAGCAAUACACUGCAUGAGAACCACUUUUUGUGGGAGUCUGUUGGUCUUCCCCUUUUCCUCAGUUCAGUUUUGUUUCCUCUUGUCCCCUUGAGACAUCACUGAG
ensembl:lncRNA